rnacentral:lncRNA from 1 species
GCGGGGGCCGGCCCUGGCCGCUCCGCCUAUUGGGACUGGGGGGCCUGGGCCAGCCGUCGGCGCGGUGAUAAUGGGGCGCUGCCGUCUGGAGCCCCACGGCCACUGAAACCGCAGUGACACGACAUCGGUGGAAGGGACAGAGCAUUUCCAGGAGCAUCUACGCAGUCCAUGGCACCACGGGACUGGGUUGUAGGCACAGUUGGAAGGCGGCUUGGCAGCUUAAAACCCGGUGCCGUGCACCCGCUGGUCCAGUGCGGGUUUUAUAAAUGACGGAAACACAGCGGUAGUGAGCAAGCAGCGAACGGCUCCCAGAGCUCUGACGCCUCGGGGUAUCCCCGAUGCAGGGGCCGAACCGCUGUCUGAGGAGGGGCACCUGCCCCAGCCCAGCCAGGAGCCGGGGUUCGUUUCACCCCUGUUCGCACACACGCGCCAGCCCUACAUCUCCCUUACACCAGCGUCGAGGUGCUUCCGAGCCCAACUCACCGCUCCCCGAGCAGCAAGGCCCCACAUCGCUUCCCCGAAAGCUCCCGGCGCUUCCCGACCCCCCCGUGGCCCCGAGAGAGCCGCGCUUCUAUUUCGGGGCCCUCACGGAGCGCGCCGUUAUCAGAGCCGACCACAAAUGCCACAUGAAAAGCAGCAAACAUCCGGAGGGUUUCCUGCGAACCGAGCCUUUCUCAAGGCAGAGGCCUUUUUUUUUUUUUUUCUUUUUAACGCGUACUUAA